rnacentral:rRNA from 1 species
GUGUCAGCAGCCGCGGUAAAACGUAGGUACCGAGCGUUAUCCGGAUUUACUGGGCGUAAAGCGUGUUCAGGCGGCCUGGCAAGUCGGGCAUGAAAUCUCUCGGCUCAACCGGGAGAGGCUGUCCGAUACUGCUGGGCUUGAGGACGGUAGAGGGUGGUGGAAUUCCGCGUGUAGUGGUGAAAUGCGUAGAUAUGCGGAGGAACACCAGUGGCGAAGGCGGCCACCUGGACCGUCCCUGACGCUCAAACACGAAAGCUAGGGUAGCGAACGGGAUUAGAAACCCUCGUAGUCC